rnacentral:rRNA from 1 species
UACGUAGGGGGCAAGCGUUGUCCGGAUUUAUUGGGCGUAAAGAGCGUGUAGGCGGUUUGGUAGGUCCGCUGUGAAAACUCGAGGCUCAACCUCGAGACGCCGGUGGAAACCAUCAGACUAGAGUCCGGAAGAGGAGAGUGGAAUUCCUGGUGUAGCGGUGAAAUGCGCAGAUAUCAGGAGGAACACCGGUGGCGAAGGCGGUGGGCUGGGCUGGUACUGACGCUGAGGAGCGAAAGCGUGGGGAGCGAACAGG